rnacentral:lncRNA from 1 species
CAACAGUCGCUCGGUUUGAGCUCAAAUAAAUGCAGGGAUGCCUCGGCUGGGAGCAGUCCGCCGCCUCCCUCCGAGCGCAGGACGCUCCGACGCCCGCUUGCCCGCAGGCCACCGCAGACUGGGAAUUACACAGCAAGAUGGCUUUCCCUACUCCAUCAUGGCUAGAGCCUCUGCAAGGGCUGAAGCCCUUUGAUCUUGGCUUCAUUUGGAUACAUUUCAAGGCUUCCAUGAUGACUUUGCAUCCCCCAGCUUCUGUUUUGAGAUGUCGAAAUGAGGAUGAGACUGUGGCUAUCUCAGACACACCUUCACAAUGUUGUCUGAAGGCAUCAUCAACUCAGGUGACAGAGACAUCCUUGAAAUGGACCUUCAAUCCUUGCCCUCAGACAGCAAACUGGGAUGACAACACAGUUGCUUCCUGCUGUGACCUCCCUGGGACUGACUCCCAGGACAUGCCUUUCAUUAUCUAUCCAGAAAACUGGGUUUGACCAGAGAAAGACAGCAAGUAGACUCCUUGAUCUGGGUGUAGUUGAAAACAUUUCAGCUUAGAGCUUUUAGUUUAUUUCAAAAGAUGUAUCCCUUGCCAUUCUUCCAGCCAGUAGUCUCCUGAUGGCCUGUGUUCUUUAUCCCUGUACCAUGUCUUAGUCCUAAGCACAGUGCUGCUUAAGAGUAGACAGGAUGAACAGAAGGGAUGUAUUAAUAGGUACCCAGAUCUCUUUUUAGAGAUUUGGAAAAUAGUCCCCUUUUAGAGAAAAGCAGCCUGACAAGCUUAAUUCAAGUUGGGCAUAAAGGAAAGAAUUUAGACAAAACCAGAGAUUGAGGAACCUCUUCAGAUUCUCCCAUUCAGAAUCUCCAGUCAAAGGGAAUUCACUCUGGAAAUGUAUUAGCAGACUGAUGGUCACAACUGGGAAUGCCAGUGGAAUUCAUGCAUGUUUUCCUACCAUUCUUUAAUAUUAAGUUUAGCAUGCAUUAUAUGUUUUUU